GACGAACGCUGGCGGCAUGCCUAAUACAUGCAAGUCGAGCGGACAGAUGAAGUGCUUGCACUUCUGACGUUAGCGGCGAACGGGUGAGUAACACGUAAGGAAUCUACCUAUAAGCGGGGGAUAACAUUCGGAAACGGGUGCUAAUACCGCAUAAUAUCUUCUUCCGCAUGGAAGAAGAUUGAAAGACGGCUCUGCUGUCACUUAUAGAUGACCUUGCGGUGCAUUAGUUGGUUGGUGGGGUAACGGCCUACCAAGACGAUGAUGCAUAGCCGACCUGAGAGGGUGAUCGGCAACAUUGGGACUGAGACACGGCCCAAACUCCUACGGGAGGCAGCAGUAGGGAAUCUUCCGCAAUGGGCGAAAGCCUGACGGAGCAAUGCCGCGUGAGUGAAGAAGGCCUUCGGGUCGUAAAACUCUGUUAUAAGAGAAGAACAAAUUGUAGAGUAACUGCUACAGUCUUGACGGUAUCUUAUCAGAAAGCCACGGCUAACUACGUGCCAGCAGCCGCAGUAA
rnacentral:rRNA from 1 species